AACGGCUCGUGUAGCACGGGGGAAGGGAUGUGCCGCUUAAAGUCCGGGUUUACUUCAUUUUGAUCUCAUGGUUCCAGGUUCCCCUGUCAGCCGCAACGCCGUGCAGUUUGCUCUGUUCUGCUGUCACAGCUUACAGCAGGUAUCAGACAGGAAACUGCUGGAAAAAAAACUCACUUGUAAUUCGGGAUCCUUAAAGAGAUUAAAAGCCGCAAUUAGUUGCAAUCAGGGAGCAAUCGCAUGGAACGUAGCCAGCACUGCUGAAGUGGGGUUUGAGUGGUGAUCUCCAUCUGUGACUCGUGGUAUAGCUGGGACGUGACCAUCGCUGCGGGUUGAUCGACUGCAAAGCAAAGAUGGGGGACAAAUUCCUGCAUAAGGUUUAUGAAGGAAAAGCUGCUUGCAAUACCCAUGUGGUUCUAGCUUCAGGACUACUGCUGAGGGACAUCACUGCCACAACACAGACUUACUGUGACCAUCCUGAUGUAUGGCUGGACUCUCACUUGUGGGAGAAGAGGAAGGAAAGACCUGGAAAGACUGCUGUCACCACACCAGAAGGAAAGGAGAGGUCAUCUUUCAUUUCCUCAUUAGGAAGAAGUGAGGAUUUGCGGAAAGAAAAUAGUCUU